UCUUACGCAGCCCGACUUGAGCGGAAAUCCUUUUUUGCGUGAACUCGAGUUCAACUUAAUGGAAAACGUGAGCAAAAAAGAUUGGGAGCGGAAGGCGGAAUAGCUG
rnacentral:sRNA from 1 species